rnacentral:lncRNA from 1 species
CGGAAGACCACUGCCUCAUCCUUCACUGUAAAAGCAGAAAGCCCCAGGACACCGGGCAGACAGCCUUACCUCCAGCCAUUUAAGAUCCUCUGCGAGAAACGACAGACUCUCACUGUCCUUGGCAUCGCCCUCCGGUAGUCAUUUGGUGUUAGGGAUUACGGCUGAUUUAAAGCGAAGCUGAGGACCUGUGUCCCAGAGACCCACCACGCUCCCCUCAUCCUCCAGAGACACACCCCUGAGGCUGGGAUGUGCUGUCUCCUCAGUCCUCCGGGCCUUGCACACAGGUGGUGCUCCGGCGCGCUGGCCCAGUGAAGGCAUGGAGAAACCAAACCUUGCUGGGCCCCUGCACAACACCUGCUCCAGGCUCCACGCUUGGAAAUUAAGGCUCAUGGCGGGAAGCUGCCCGCGAGAGCAGACGCCUGGGCGUCAGGAACCAGAAGACCUGAACUUCUCAAGUUGUAACAUUUUCCGUGCCGAUUUCCUCAUCUGCAAAUGGGUAGAGGGCACUCACCGGUCGGGGCUGUUCUGGGGCUGGCAGAUGACGUGUUUCUGUCCGGGCACAUGUUGGCAACACUGGUGACCCUCACUUCAAGUUAAAAUUCGAAUCCACCAGUCCUGAAUUUUUCUCGUGGCCAAAGUUGGGAGAAUUA